rnacentral:rRNA from 1 species
GACGAACGCUGGCGGCGUGCUUAACACAUGCAAGUCGAACGCUGAAGCUCAGCUUUUGUUGGGUGGAUGAGUGGCGAACGGGUGAGUAACACGUGAGUAACCUGCCCCCUUCUUUGGGAUAACGCCCGGAAACGGGUGCUAAUACUGGAUAUUCACUGGUCUUCGCCUGGGGGUUGGUGGAAAGGGUUUUUCUGGUGGGGGAUGGGCUCGCGGCCUAUCAGCUUGUUGGUGGGGUGAUGGCCCAACAAGGCUUUGACGGGUAGCCGGCCUGAGAGGGUGACCGGUCACAUUGGGACUGAGAUACGGCCCAGACUCCUACGGGAGGCAGCAGUGGGGAAUAUUGCACAAUGGGCGCAAGCCUGAUGCAGCGACGCCGCGUGAGGGAUGGAGGCCGUCGGGUUGUGAACCUCUUUCGCUCAUGGUCAAGCCGCAACAAUGGUUGUGGUGAGGGUAGUGGGUAAAGAAGCGCCGGCUAACUACGUG